rnacentral:rRNA from 1 species
UGGGGAAUAUUGCACAAUGGGCGCAAGCCUGAUGCAGCCAUGCCGCGUGUGUGAAGAAGGCCUUCGGGUUGUAAAGCACUUUCAGCGAGGAGGAAGGGUAGUGUGUUAAUAGCACAUUGCAUUGACGUUACUCGCAGAAGAAGCACCGGCUAACUCCGUGCCAGCAGCCGCGGUAAUACGGAGGGGACAAGGGUUAAUAGGAAUUACUGGGCGUAAAGCGCACGCAGGCGGUUUGUUAAGUCAGAUGUGAAAUCCCCGCGCUUAACGUGGGAACUGCAUUUGAAACUGGCAAGCUAGAGUCUUGUAGAGGGGGGUAGAAUUCCAGGUGUAGCGGUGAAAUGCGUAGAGAUCUGGAGGAAUACCGGUGGCGAAGGCGGCCCCCUGGACAAAGACUGACGCUCAGGUGCGAAAGCGUGGGGAGCAAACA